UGCAGCUGCCAUGACAGACAAACAUAAAGAAAACGUCCCAGAGGUGACAGCACAGCCAAGCAGCCCUGAGUACAGUAUGCAGGCAAAUGCUACAAACUUGCUUUUGCCAAGGUGCUGCCACGGCCUGAGCUCAGGAUGUGCCACUUCAGCUCACAGAUCAAAUUCCAGAUUCGGGUCAAGAAUCAGAGAGGCUGAAUUUUGACACCUGCCCACAUCAGAGUUGCCUUUCUCUGGACACAUGUGAGUGGAUUUUGGCCCUCUCCAAUUCGAGAGCUGGAGUCCAGUUUGGUUUGCUUGGAGAAAAGCUUAAACAUCCAUCAUUGAUUAGGUAUUGAAAAUCUUAAAUAAAUAGAAAAUUAAAUAAAACAUAAACCAA